AGAGAGAGAGCGCGCACGCACUUAUUUAGACCCCUUUUUCUUACACCUACAAAAUCCAAAAAAUAUUCUCCAACAAGUUUAUUAUUGGACAGAAGAAGAGGUUAUGGCCGUUGCUAUUAGAAAAAUUCAGCACGAACAAAAUUAUCUAGCGAUUAGCAGAUAUACCUUUAUUUCCUAUACUAUUGGUCUGUGCAUUAUCAUGAUUGAUCUUGGCAUUGUAAUUUUAAUUUACAUGUGGUAUGAGAGCAAGGAUGAAUUCAUGGUGGCAUAUGGGCAUAAAGAAAAGCUAAAUCUCACCAAAAGAUCAAGGAUGAAAAAUGAAAAUUUUCUAGUUUAAACAUUAAAAUAAAUAUCUAAAUUCUAAGA
rnacentral:lncRNA from 1 species